rnacentral:rRNA from 1 species
UACGUAGGGUGCAAGCGUUAAUCGGAAUUACUGGGCGUAAAGCGUGCGCAGGCGGUGAUGUAAGACAGUUGUGAAAUCCCCGGGCUCAACCUGGGAACUGCAUCUGUGACUGCAUCGCUGGAGUGCGGCAGAGGGGGAUGGAAUUCCGCGUGUAGCAGUGAAAUGCGUAGAUAUGCGGAGGAACACCGAUGGCGAAGGCAGCCUCCUGGGCCAACACUGACGCUCAUGCACGAAAGCGUGGGGAGCGAACAGG